rnacentral:rRNA from 1 species
AUUGAACGCUAGCGGGAUGCUUUACACAUGCAAGUCGAACGGCAGCGCGGACUUCGGUCUGGCGGCGAGUGGCGAACGGGUGAGUAAUGUAUCGGAACGUGCCCAGUAGCGGGGGAUAACUACGCGAAAGCGUAGCUAAUACCGCAUACGCCCUACGGGGGAAAGCAGGGGAUCGUAAGACCUUGCACUAUUGGCGCGGCCGAUAUCGGAUUAGCUAGUUGGUGAGGUAACGGCUCACCAAGGCGACGAUCCGUAGCUGGUGUGAGAGGACGACCAGCCACACUGGGACUGAGACACGGCCCAGACUCCUACGGGAGGCAGCAGUGGGGAAUUUUGGACAAUGGGGGCAACCCUGAUCCAGCCAUCCCGCGUGUGCGAUGAAGGCCUUCGGGUUGUAAAGCACUUUUGGCAGGAAAGAAACGUCGCGGGCUAAUACCCCGUGGAACUGACGGUACCUGCAGAAUAAGCACCGGCUAACUACGUG